UCCUCAGUAGAUCAGUGGUAGAGCAGUCAGCUAUUAACUGAUUGGCCAUAGGUUCAAAUCCUACUUGGGGAG